rnacentral:tRNA from 1 species
GGCGGAGAGCCAACGUCUAUUGC